GAAUGCUGACAUAAGUAACGAUAAAGCGGGUGAAAAGCCCGCUCGCCGGAAGACCAAGGGUUCCUGUCCAACGUUAAUCGGGGCAGGGUGAGUCGACCCCUAAGGCGAGGCCGAAAGGCGUAGUCGAUGGGAAACGGGUUAAUAUUCCCGUACUUGGUGUUACUGCGAAGGGGGGACGGAGAAGGCUAUGUUGGCCGGGCGACGGUUGUCCCGGUUUAAGCGUGUAGGUGUGUGUUCCAGGUAAAUCCGGUUCACUUUAACACUGAGGCGUGACGACGAGGCACUACGGUGCUGAAGCAAC
rnacentral:rRNA from 2 species